rnacentral:rRNA from 1 species
GAUGAACGCUAGCGGCAGGCUUAAUACAUGCAAGUCAAGGGGGUAGCAAUACAACCGGCGCACGGGUGAGUAACGCGUACACAACAUACCAUAUACUGGGGUAUAGCUUUGGGAAACUGAAGGUAAUCCCCCAUAACAUUGCGAGAGGGCAUCUGAUUGCAAUUAAAGUUUCGGCGGUAUAUGAUUGGUGUGCGUUUGAUUAGCUAGUUGGUAGGGUAACGGCCUACCAAGGCGACGAUCAAUAGCUGGCGUGAGAGCGCGACCAGCCACACUGGAACUGAGACACGGUCCAGACUCCUACGGGAGGCAGCAGUAGGGAAUAUUGGACAAUGGAGGAAACUCUGAUCCAGCCAUGCCGCGUGAUAGUUGAAGGCCCUCUGGGUUGUAAAUAUCUUUUAUCUGGGAAGAAACAAUCUUAUUCUUAAGAUCUUGACGGUACCAGAGGAAUAAGCACCGGCUAAACUCCGUGCCAGCAGCCGCGGU